UACGAAGGGGGCUAGCGUUGCUCGGAAUCACUGGGCGUAAAGCGCACGUAGGCGGAUUGCUAAGUCAGGGGUGAAAUCCUGGAGCUCAACUCCAGAACUGCCCUUGAUACUGCGGGUCUCGAGUCCGGGAGAGGUGAGUGGAAUUCCUAGUGUAGAGGUGAAAUUCGUAGAUAUUAGGAAGAACACCAGUGGCGAAGGCGGCUCACUGGCCCGGUACUGACGCUGAGGCGCGAAAGCGUGGGGAGCAAACAGG
rnacentral:rRNA from 1 species